UACAGAGGUGGCAAGCGUUGUUCGGAAUUACUGGGCGUAAAGGGCGAGUAGGUGGCCAUCUAAGUCAGACGUGAAAUCCCCCGGCUUAACCUGGGAACUGCGUCUGAUACUGGACGGCUUGGGUAUGGGAGAGGAACGUAGAAUUCCAGGUGUAGCGGUGAAAUGCGUAGAUAUCUGGAGGAAUACCGGUGGCGAAGGCGGCGUUCUGGACCAUUACUGACACUGAAUCGCGAAAGCUAGGGGAGCAAACGGG
rnacentral:rRNA from 1 species